rnacentral:lncRNA from 1 species
UCCUACUUCGUGUUGUGGAGUUGAACCAAGAUAUUUGUAAGGGCAAGGAGAUCGCCUACUUUGUGAAGAUCUACUAUGAGUGAGGCUAGUCCCGUGUGAAUGGAAACCGUGGUGGAAUAGACAAGGCUGCUUCUUUGUGGACCCCUUGUGGGUGGAGCCCUCCGUGGACUCUCGUAGCCAUUACCCUCCGUGGUUUGAAGUCUCCACUAACAUGUACGUACGAUAGCUUCAUCUAUCGGAACCAUACCAAAGAUUGUUGUGUCAACCUUUGCGUUUCAUCUCCCUACCUUACCCUCUACUUUACAUUUGCAUGUCUUACUU